AAGCAAGUUUUAUUCGCCUGAUUGACAAAGUGACCAACGGCUCUCGGAUUGAAAUAAACCAAACAGGUACUACCUUGUAUUAUCAGCCUGGUCUUCUGUACGGUGGCUCAUUGGAACAUGACUGCAGCCCCAGUCGGAGUAUUGGCUACUAUUUGGAAAGUCUGCUCUGCUUGGCACCUUUCAUGAAACAUCCGUUGAAGAUUGUCCUGAGGGGAGUAACAAAUGAUCAAGUAGAUCCUUCAGUUGAUGUCCUUAAGGUAACAGCUCUACCCCUACUGAAGAAGUUUGGAGUGGAUGGUGAAAGUCUGGAAAUCAAGAUCAACCGGAGAGGAAUGCCUCCCAAAGGGGGUGGAGAGAUACUGUUUGCUUGCCCAGUGAGAAGGGUCUUGCAGCCUAUUCAUUUCACAGACCCGGGCAAAAUCAAGCGCAUCAGAGGAACUGCAUACUCUGUCAGAGUGUCACCACAGAUGGCAAACAGAAUGGUGGAAUCUGCAAGGAGCAUCCUGAAUAAAUUCCUCCCAGACAUUUAUAUCUACACAGAUCAUAUGAAGGGGGUCAGCUCUGGAAAAUCACCAGGUUUUGGCAUGUGCCUUACAGCAGAAACCAUCAAUGGCACUAUUCUCAGUGCUGAGCUAGCCUCAAACCCUCAGGGCCAGGGAGCAGCCGUGCUUCCCGAGGAACUUGGCCAGAAUUGUGCUAAGCUGUUGCUUGAGGAGGUCUACAGGGGAGGCUGUGUAGAUUCAACAAAUCAGAGCCUUGCUCUGCUGCUCAUGACCCUUGGACAACGGGAUGUUUCCAAAGUCCUGUUAGGACCUCUGUCUCCAUACACAAUUGAGUUUCUGCGGCACCUGAGAAGCUUCUUCCAGAUCAUGUUUAAAAUUGAAACAAAGACCCCUGAGGAAGAGCACAUGGGCGGGGAGAAAGUCUUAAUGACGUGUGUUGGCACUGGAUUUUCCAACCUUAGCAAAACUAUAAGAUAAGAAACAUCUACACACUUCAUGAAAUGGGCUAUCCCUCAUCAAUUUAGGUAAUCCCUUUGGGUGAACAACUCUAAUAAUACCCUUCUGCUGUGAUUGGAAACUUUUGCUUACAGAAGGCUUUAAGGAUGGACCAUAAGGGGGUACAGGUAAUAUUAUGAGUCAAAUGGAUUUUGUUUCAAGCCACGGAGGCAUAAUUCUGCUGCUUGCAAGCUCUUACAUUCACUCCCCCAUUUUUCAAUCAUGCUCUUAAGACAGCAACAGGAGUAAAAAAGAUGAAAAGUACCAGCCUUCAGGAGGCAUAAUUUUGCCUAUGGGUUUCUUUCUCAUUUAUUGAUAGUGUAUGGCCAUCUCUACACUUUUAUUUUGUAUGCAUGAUAAAAGCAUUUCUAUUUAGUCUGGAUCCUAGGGGAUACCAAGUACGACACGCAACUGUGUCAGGACAGCUCUAAAUAAAAGAAGAAAGUGGAAGGGGCAUCUUUUACAGUUACUGCUUAGGUCUUGGUAAGCUCUAUCUUAAGAUCAUUCUUGCUGGCAUAUGUACAGUUCUCCUUGUGUCUGAUCUAGGAGCAGAAUUAACAAGCUCUGAAAAACACCUAUUACCUGUUAUCAAUGGGAGGUGUAAAAAGACAGAACAUCCUCAAGGGAAGAGUGUGUGGGUUGAACUCUGCAGUGACAGCAUUGUAUGUGUAAUCCCAGUAAGUCAUGCACUGCGUCAGAGCACCACAAUGUCCAAAUAGCACUUCUGCUAAAUAAAGUUGUGACAUUGAUAUAAGACAGGUUUGUUGGGAUGAUUUGUGGUAGUUCUAUAGCAGUAGAUAUUAAGUAUGAGUGCUAAUCUCUCUCCUGGAACAAUAAGAUUAUUAUAUAUACACACCAUUAUUAUAUAUGUACAAGCGCUCAGAACUAUAUUGCCUGUGUACUACAGAGUGUAGAAACAACUGUGUUUGUGGAAGCAGCAAUAAGGAGACCCACAGAGAAAAUGUUUUAUUGUAAACUGAUACUGAUGAAGGAUAUAACCACAAUGGCCAAAAGCAACUCUACAUCAGGGUGAACGGUGGUUGGGAGCUACAGAAGUGGCCAGUUCCCUGCUACUGGUGGCAGCCCCUCUCUGCACAGCUGUGCAUCUGUUCUGGGGGGGCCCUUUGGGCACACCAAGGGUAGAGUAGUGUCUUUAUACAUUUGCCCUCAUGCUGUAUGUCUGCCUGAUUGUCCACACUCACCCUGCUAUUCCCUGUAUUGGUUUGGCUGCACUUCCCUGGCAGCCUCCGCUAUGCUGUUCACACAACAAACAUCAAUACUUCUUUAACAGUGAACUCCCAUGGUGAAAAUCUGUACAGUCCAUGCAGAGACUGAUACACAUGAGGUACCCAGUGCUUAACUGGAUGAGCUAGUAGGAUUAAGGGCUUGAUUUCAGUGAUCAUAACUGCGUGUCAGUGACACAUUCCCUUAUACAAGAUGUGACAGGCUCAGUAAGGCACCCAUUUGCAGGCUGCAUCACAGGCACACCAUUUGAGAACAAAUGUCUUUCUUCUUACCUUACUUCUAACCUGCAACCACCCUGCUCCUUGAAAGUUACUUAAACCUUUUCCAAUCCUAACCUGUCUCCAUGGAUAAGAAGAAAAGUUGCUUUUGUCAGUGAUUAAUGUAGAUAUAUUCUGUGAGGUAAGACUGGAAUGGUCAUCCCUCAGCAUCAUCAGGUCGGACAAUUCCAUGUGUCUGGAAAUGUACUUUUGAUGAGGUAUGAAAUACUAUGCAUCUUCAAGCUGGUUCUAGAUCAAAAUAUUCAUGAGGUUUGAUUGUUCCUUUUUUUUUUUUUUUAACUUCACCAAAAUGAAAAAAAAAGGAAGAAAACCCAAAACAUGAUGGCUUGUU